CUCCAAUAGCGUAUAUUAAAGUUGUUGCGGUUAAAAAGCUCGUAGUUGGAUUUCUGCCGAGGACGACCGGUCCGCCUCUGGGGGUGAGUAUCUGGCUCGGCCUGGGGGCAUCUUCUUGGAGAACGUAGCUGCACUUGACUGUGUGGUGCGGUAUCCAGGACUUACUUUGAGGAAAUCAGAGUGUUUCAAGCAGCAUACGC
rnacentral:rRNA from 1 species